rnacentral:rRNA from 1 species
AUUGAACGCUGGCGGCAGGCCUAACACAUGCAAGUCGAGCGGAGCGGCGGACGGGGGAGUAAUGACUAGGAAUCUGCCUGGUAGUGGGGGAUACCGUCCGGAAACGGGCGCUAAUACCGCAUACUAUCAGAUGAGCCUAGGUGGGAUUAGCUAGUUGGUGGGGUAAAGGCCUACCAAGGCGACGAUCCGUAACUGGUCUGAGAGGAUGAUCGGUAACACUGGAACUGAGACACGGUCCAGACUCCUACGGGAGGCAGCAGUGGGGAAUAUUGGGCAAUGGGCGAAAGCCUGAUCGAGCCAUGCCGCGUGAGUGAAGAAGGUCUUCGGAUUGUAAAGCGCUUUAAGUUGGGAAGCGGUACCUACAGAGUAAGCACCGGCUAACUUCGUGCCAGCAGCCGCGGUAAUUC